rnacentral:misc_RNA from 1 species
GAUGAAGAACGUAGCGAAAUGCGAUACUUGGUGUGAAUUGCAGAAUCCCGUGAACCAUCGAGUCUUUGAACGCAAGUUGCGCCCGAAGCCAUCAGGUUGAGGGCACGUCUGCCUGGGCGUCACAUAUCGUUGCCCAAUGCCUAUUGCAGUGCAAUAGGAAUUUCUAGGGCGAAUGAUGGCUUCCCGUGAGCGUUGUUGCCUCGCGGUUGGUUGAAAAUCGAGUCCUUGGUAGGGUGUGCCAUGGUAGAUGGUGGUCGAGUUAGAACGAUACCGAUCAUGUGCAUGCUCCCCAAAAUAUGGCCUCUAUGACCCACACGCGUCUUUUGACGCUCAUGACGAGACCUCAGGUCAGGCGGGGCUACCCGCUGAAUUUAAGCAUAUCAAUAAGCGGGAGGA